CAAAUAAUUACAAAUAUUAAGAACUAGAGCAAAUUUUAGAAGAACUUGUCAGAUUGCUCCUAAUCCUCCACUUGAUCUUUAGUCUCUGAAAUCUCCUUCGUGUUUCCCUUGUUGUUCUCUCUGCAAAUAUCUUGAUAAAAUCCUCUGAUAAUUUACUCCAUACGUCUUUUCUGAAGUUUUUUCCUAUUUGUAUUGGUUCAAACCCUCAUCCAAAUUCCUAUUUGGCUUCAAAAUCCAACUUGCACCAAAACAAACCAACAAAAGUCGUGGCCUAGCUGGCGCUAGGUUUAGUAUAGUUCAAGUGCACUAGGCGCUAGGCAAGGACCAAG
rnacentral:lncRNA from 1 species